rnacentral:lncRNA from 1 species
UGUGCAUGUGUCUCUAUUUCUAUUUAAAUAUACAGAUUUCUCUCACAAAUACUGCUUCCUAUAGUUUUCAUAAAGUAAUGUUAAGUAGUUCUCUACUGUUUUUGAUAAUCUGAUAUUAAUUUCUGUUUUUAACCCAAGUUGCAAGUCUGAAUGGCUAUAGGAGCCAGCCGGGCAAUGAAAGUGAGUGAAAUGGCCAAGGUGGAGGACCAUAAGGCAGAGGGGGGACUGGAGGUCAGACGCCCAGUAGAAAGGUAGCAGCUCCUUCUCUCCUUCUCAAGCCCUGGAUGAACAUGUGGCUUACCUUUGUUACUCCAUAGUAAAACAGUGCCCUGCAUAAUGGUUUGCUUGUUUUACAAAAGAUUUAAAUGUAGUUGUGUUGGUACAAAAUCCACAUCAUGUUGCCUAUCCAUGAACAACAGAAUGUCCUUGACAAGUAUUUGCAUUUUCAGGUGAGAUUAAUUGAUUGUAAUUAGAAUUAAUGUAAUCAAUUUAACGUAAAUUAAUAUUAGAAGG